CUGUGUUGCUUACCAACGGAAUGGAAUUCGAUUGGAUUCAUGUCUACAUCCGCCCGAUGCCUUUUUGGGUGCUGGGUGGACUACAAGCUUGCCUCGUGUUCCAAGCAUGCCUCGCUCUCUUGCGUGGUUGUUGUGGCCCACGGGGUUAAGCUCGUUCUCUUGGAUGCGGAUCGUAAUAUAUGGGCGAGGGGUCCCGACCUCCAUUCGUCCGAAUUACGCAUUUGUCAAUCUGACACGAACGACCGUCGUGCUCGUCUUGGCUCCGGAGUCGCANGGCUCCGUGAGAUUUCAUGCGAGCAUCGGCGUCGCGAAGGAAUGCUACCUGGUUGAUCCUGCCAGUAGUCAUAUG
rnacentral:misc_RNA from 1 species